CAGUCGCCGCGGGAAUACGAAGGGUGCAAGCGUUAAUCGGAAUUACUGGGCGUAAAGCGCGCGUAGGUGGUUUGGUAAGAUGGAUGUGAAAUCCCCGGGCUCAACCUGGGAACUGCAUCCAUAACUGCCUGACUAGAGUACGGUAGAGGGUGGUGGAAUUUCCUGUGUAGCGGUGAAAUGCGUAGAUAUAGGAAGGAACACCAGUGGCGAAGGCGACCACCUGGACUGAUACUGACACUGAGGUGCGAAAGCGUGGGGAGCAAACAGGAUUAGAUACCCCAGUAGUCCCUGUCUCUUAUAC
rnacentral:rRNA from 1 species